rnacentral:rRNA from 1 species
GGAAUAUUGCACAAUGGGCGAAAGCCUGAUGCAGCGACGCCGCGUGAGGGAUGACGGCCUUCGGGUUGUAAACCUCUUUCGGUAGGGAACAAGGCCAGCAUUUUUGUUGGUUGAGGGUACUUGCAGAAGAAGCGCCGGCUAACUACGUGCCAGCAGCCGCGGUAAGACAGAGGAUGCAAGCGUUAAUCGGAAUUACUGGGCGUAAAGCGCGCGUAGGUGGUUUGUUAAGUUGGAUGUGAAAUCCCCGGGCUCAACCUGGGAACUGCAUUCAAAACUGACUGACUAGAGUAUGGUAGAGGGUGGUGGAAUUUCCUGUGUAGCGGUGAAAUGCGUAGAUAUAGGAAGGAACACCAGUGGCGAAGGCGACCACCUGGACUAAUACUGACACUGAGGUGCGAAAGCGUGGGGAGCAAACAGGAUUAGAUACCCGAG